CCCCCCCCCCCCCCCCCCCCCAGGCUUCCACUUGAGGGGGCCCCAAUUGAGUAUUUUUUACAUUAAAGUUUAAAUAUUACGCAAAACGCAGGGGCCCCCAAAGAGUUCAACCCCCGCGUGCCCCCAGCUGAUGGAAAAUUCCUAGCUACGCCCCUGCAGGUACAUCUGGGUUAUUAAAUAGUUCUUACCACUUGGUCAAGGUCAUAUUGUCUGUAAACAUUAUUUCGAAAAUCAGACUUCGAAAUGCUCAUAACUAAAAGAAGAAAAACUCCGGAUGUACCAAACAUUUCUCUCUAGAUUCUCUCUGCUCGCUACUUUCAUUUGUGGCUCUUCAGAAACUUUGUACAUAUUGAUAAAAGUGUCAUGGAACUUGUACAGGAUCUUGAUGUCUGUGUCUGCAAGUGUACAUGUCAUGAAUGAAUUACAUCCCUUGGUGAAUAUGUAGUGCUUUGAAAUUAAACUAUUCAUGUGUUUUGGAAUAUAUUUAUUUAAUACAUAUGUGACAUUGUUUAUAGUGAAUAUUGACAAAAAUAUGCUGUUGUAGUUUUUAAAACUAUGUGGAAUUACUUUUAAAGAGAAUUUGUAGGAGUUAUUUUAUCAUGAAUAGAUUUUUAGUAGUGUGUUUGUGAACACUUUCGCUUAGGGCACGGACAUAUGGAUUUUUAUUUAGGAAGUAACACAGUCAGUAUUUCAGGGCUUGAACCAUUUCCCCUUUGUAUCCAGGACUUUUAUACUUAGUGUAGUGGUUCUCAAAGUUUGAUUCUCAAGGGCCACUUGUUUAGUGGUUCCAUAAAUAAUGAUCAGGCUUUCAUAUGGUUUCUACAAGAUUAACCAUAUGAUUGAAGGAGGCAAGACACAGUGGCUCCAAUAGUUUGAUUCUCAUAGGUCACUUCAAUAGAUUCAGUUCCCAUAGAGGUUCCCAUAACUUGAUUCUCAAAGGUCACUUGUUUUUAGAUUCAGUAUAGUGGUUCCCAUAGCUUGAUUCUCAAUAUCCUCACUUGUUUUUAGAUUCAGUGUAGUGGUUCCCAUACUUUUGAUUCUCAAUAUCCUCACUUGCUUGUGUCCUGUUGACAAAUAUUUACUUUUGGUUUAUACUCCAGGUUGUGCAUUUGAAUUCAGUUUACUUGGAAAUUGUGAGAUGCUGGGGCAGUAGUUUCAAAAGGCAAUAAAAAAAACAAAAAGUCUAUUUGGUAGAACCAAAAAAAUAAGGUGCUAAUCCAGAUUGUAGCUUUGCCAUAUUUGAAGUUAUGUGAAAUAAUUAUUACCUAUACUAAUAUAUUUAUAUUCAGUCUCAAUAUCGCAGCAUUAUGUAAGUUAGGCCAGAGGACAUAAUCUCGCCAAUCUGCUUGCAGACCAGUAGGUGUGACAGAGCCAAAACUAUUGUUGGUUGAAUAUUGUUUUAAGAUUGUACCAUAUUAUUUUUCUUAUUAUAAAGAGAUUAUUAAAAUUGUACCAUAUUAUUUUUCUUAUUAUAAAGAGAUUAUUAAAAUUGUACCAUAUUAUUUUUCUU